rnacentral:rRNA from 1 species
GACGAACGCUGGCGGCGUGCUUAACACAUGCAAGUCGAGCGAAGUAUUCAAGAUAGAUUUCUUCGGAUUGAAGUCUUGAAUAUCUUAGCGGCGAACGGGUGAGUAACGCGUGAGAAACCUGCCUUUCACAAAGGGAUAGCCUCGGGAAACUGGGAUUAAUACCUUAUGAUACUUACAUUUCACACGAGAAGUAAGUUAAAGCGCAAAAGCGGUGAAAGAUGGUCUCGCGUCCCAUUAGUUAGUUGGUGGGUAGCAGCCUACCAAGGCAACGAUCAGUAGCCGGCCUGAGAGGGUGGACGGCCACACUGGGACUGAGACACGGCCCAGACUCCUACGGGAGCAGCAGU